AACGAACGCUGGCGGCAGGCUUAACACAUGCAAGUCGAACGCAUCCUUCGGGGUGAGGGGCAGACGGGUGAGUAACGCGUGGGAACGUGCCCUUCAGUUCGGGAUAACCCAGGGAAACGUGGGCCAAUACCGGAUACGUGCGAGAGCAGCAAGAUUUAUAGCUGGAGGAUCGGCCCGCGGCUGGUUAGCGAGUUGGUGGGGUAAUGGCCCACCAAGGCGAAGAACAGUAGCUGGGCUGAGAGGACGAUCAGCCACAUGGGGACUGAGACACGGCCAAACCGCCUACGGGGGGCAGCGGUGGGGAACAUUGGACAAGGGGCGCAAGCCUGAUCCAGCCGUGCCGCGUGGGGGAUGAAGGCCUUAGGGUUGUAAAGCUCUUUCGUCCGGGACGAUAAUGACGGUACCGGAAGAAGAAGCCCCGGCUAACUUCGUGCCAGCCGCCGCCGUAA
rnacentral:rRNA from 1 species